UACGUAGGGUGCAAGCGUUAAUCGGAAUUACUGGGCGUAAAGCGUGCGCAGGCGGUUGUGCAAGACAGAUGUGAAAUCCCCGGGCUCAACCUGGGAAUUGCAUUUGUGACUGCACGGCUAGAGUGUGGCAGAGGGGGGUGGAAUUCCACGUGUAGCAGUGAAAUGCGUAGAGAUGUGGAGGAACACCGAUGGCGAAGGCAGCCCCCUGGGUUAACACUGACGCUCAGGCACGAAAGGCGUGGGGAGCAAACAGG
rnacentral:rRNA from 1 species